rnacentral:tRNA from 1 species
AGAAGUAUAGUUUAACUGGUAAAUAUAAGAAUUGCGUAUCUUAUGAUAAAAGUUCGAAUCUUUUUAUUCUUA